rnacentral:rRNA from 1 species
GGUAGUAACAGAGUUUGAUCAUGGCUCAGAUUGAACGCUGGCGGGAUGCUUGCUUACACAUGCAAGUCGAACGGCAGCACGGACUUCGGUCUGGUGGCGAGAGUGGCGAACAGGUGAGUAAUGUAUCGGAACGUGCCUAGUAGCGGGGGAUAACUACGCGGCGUAGCUAAUACCGCAUACGCCCUUCGGGGGAAAGCGGGGGACUUUCGGGCCUCGCACUAUUAGAGCAGCCGAUAUCGGAUUAGCUAGUUGGUGGGGUAACGGCUCCUGCAGGCGACGAUCCGUAGCUGGUUUGAGAGGACGACCAGCCACACUGGGACAGAGACACAGCCCCAGACUCCUACAGGAGGCAGCAGUGGGGGAAUUUUGGACAAUGGGGAAACCUGAUCCAGCCAUCCCGCGUGUGCGAUGAAGGCCUUCGGGUUGUAAAGCACUUUUGGCAGGAAAGAAACGGCACGGGAUAAUACCCCGUGCAACUGACAGUACCUGCAGAAUAAGCACCGGCUAACUACGUGCCAACAGCCGCGGUAAUACGUAGAGUGCAAGCGUUAAUCGGAAUUACUGGGCGUAAAGCGUGCGCAGGCGGUUCCGGAGAAAGAUGUGAAAUCCCAGAGCUUAACUUUGGAACUGCAUUUUUAACUACCGAGCUAGAGUGUGUCAGAGGGAGGUGGAAUUCCGCGUGUAGCAGUGAAAUGCGUAGAUAUGCGGAGGAACACCGAUGGCGAAGGCAGCCUCCUGGGAUAACACUGACGCUCAUGCACGAAGGCGUGGGAGCAAACAGGAUUAGAUACCCUGGUAGUCCACGCCCUAAACGAUGUCAACUAGCUGUUGGGGCCUUCGGGCCUUGGUAGCGCAGCUAACGCGUGAAGUUGACCGCCUGGGGAGUACGGUCGCAAGAUUAAAACUCAAAGGAAUUGACGGGGACCCGCACAAGCGGUGGAUGAUGUGGAUUAAUUCGAUGCAACGCGAAAAACCUUACCUACCCUUGACAUGUCUGGAAUCCCGAAGAGAUUUGGGAGUGCUCGCAAGAGAACCGGAACACAGGUGCUGCAUGGCUGUCGUCAGCUCGUGUCGUGAGAUGUUGGGUUAAGUCCCGCAACGAGCGCAACCCUUGUCAUUAGUUGCUACGAAAGGGCACUCUAAUGAGACUGCCGGUGACAAACCGGAGGAAGGUGGGGAUGACGUCAAGUCCUCAUGGCCCUUAUGGGUAGACUUCACACGUCAUACAAUGGUCGGGACAGAGGGUCGCCAACCCGCGAGGAGCCAAUCCCGAAACCCGAUCGUAGUCCGGAUCGCAGUCUGCAACUCGACUGCGUGAGUCCGGAAUCGCUAGUAAUCGCGGAUCAGCAUGUCGCGGUGAAUACGUUCCCGGGUCUUGUACACACCGCCCGUCACACCAUGGGAGUGGGUUUUACCAGAAACGAUUAGCCUAACCGUAAGGAGGGCGAUUACCACGGUAGGAUUCAUGACGGGGGUGAAGUCGUAGCUAAGGUAG